AACGUAGGGGGCAAGCGUUGCCCGGAUUCACUGGGCGUAAAGCGGGUGUAGGCGGUCCUCUAAGUCAGAUGUGAAAUCCUACGGCUCAACCGUGGAACUGCAUCUGAUACUGGAGGACUUGAGGACGGUAGAGGUCGGUGGAAUCCCCGGUGUACCGGUGAAAUGGGCAGAUAUCGGGGGGAACACCAGUGGCGAAGGCGGCCGACUGGGCCGAUCCUGACGCUGAGACGCGAAAGCGUGGGUAGCAAACAGG
rnacentral:rRNA from 1 species